UGGACUGCAACUGACGCUGAGGCGCGAAAGUGUGGGGAGCAAACAGGAUUAGAUACCCUGGUAGUCCACACUGUAAACGAUGAAUGCUAGGUGUAAGAGGUAUCGACCCCUUUUGUGCCGGAGUUAACACAAUAAGCAUUCCGCCUGGGGAGUACGGCCGCAAGGUUGAAACUCAAAGGAAUUGACGGGGGCCCGCACAAGCAGCGGAGCAUGUGGUUUAAUUCGACGCAACGCGAAGAACCUUACCAGGUCUUGACAUCCAGUUAAACUUGUAGAGAUACAAGGUGUGCUUGCACAAACUGAGACAGGUGGUGCAUGGUUGUCGUCAGCUCGUGUCGUGAGAUGUUGGGUUAAGUCCCGCAACGAGCGCAACCCUUGCCAGUAGUUACUAACGAGUAAAGUUGAGGACUCUACUGGGACUGCCGGGGACAACUCGGAGGAAGGUGGGGACGACGUCAAAUCAUCAUGCCCCUUAUGACCUGGGCUACACACGUGCUACAAUGGCCGUAACAGAGAGGAGCGAACCCGUAAGGGAGAGCAGAUCUCAAAAAAGCGGUCUCAGUUCGGAUUGUGGGCUGCAACCCGCCCACAUGAAGUCGG
rnacentral:rRNA from 1 species